rnacentral:miRNA from 10 species
UGCUGGCUCAUUUCAUAUGUGUGUUGAGAAAAUUCACACAUAUGAAGUGAGCCAG